rnacentral:snRNA from 1 species
ACCAUUCAGCUGUGGCGGUAUCAUAGCCAAUGAGGUUUAUCUGAAGCAUGAUUAUUGCUAAUUGAAAAGAUUCAGUUUUGGAAGAACUCAGAUUUCAUACACGCCUCUCAUUAAUUCUCCUUGGUACCUCUGCGAAGGG